GUGGGGAAUCUUGCGCAAUGGGCGAAAGCCUGACGCAGCCAUGCCGCGUGAAUGAUGAAGGUCUUAGGAUUGUAAAAUUCUUUCACCGGGGACGAUAAUGACGGUACCCGGAGAAGAAGCCCCGGCUAACUUCGUGCCAGCAGCCGCGGUAAUACGAAGGGGGCUAGCGUUGCUCGGAAUUACUGGGCGUAAAGGGCGCGUAGGCGGACAGUUUAGUCAGAGGUGAAAGCCCAGGGCUCAACCUUGGAAUUGCCUUUGAUACGGGCUGUCUUGAGUACGGGAGAGGUGAGUGGAACUCCGAGUGUAGAGGUGAAAUUCGUAGAUAUUCGGAAGAACACCAGUGGCGAAGGCGACUCACUGGCCCGUUACUGACGCUGAGGCGCGAAAGCGUGGGGAGCAAACAGGAUUAGAUACCCUGGUAGUCC
rnacentral:rRNA from 1 species